rnacentral:rRNA from 1 species
GAUGAACGCUGGCGGCGUGCCUAAUACAUGCAAGUCGAGCGAACAGACGAGGAGCUUGCUCCUCUGACGUUAGCGGCGGACGGGUGAGUAACACGUGGAUAACCUACCUAUAAGACUGGGAUAACUUCGGGAAACCGGAGCUAAUACCGGAUAAUAUAUUGAACCGCAUGGUUCAAUAGUGAAAGACGGUUUUGCUGUCACUUAUAGAUGGAUCCGCGCCGCAUUAGCUAGUUGGUAAGGUAACGGCUUACCAAGGCGACGAUGCGUAGCCGACCUGAGAGGGUGAUCGGCCACACUGGAACUGAGACACGGUCCAGACUCCUACGGGAGGCAGCAGUAGGGAAUCUUCCGCAAUGGGCGAAAGCCUGACGGAGCAACGCCGCGUGAGUGAUGAAGGUCUUCGGAUCGUAAAACUCUGUUAUUAGGGAAGAACAAAUGUGUAAGUAAUUAUGCACGUCUUGACGGUACCCAAUCAGAAAGCCACGGCUAACUACGUG